GAGGGGCAGCGGGGAGUGAGGCUUGCCUUACUCUGCCGGCGACCGGCGCACGGGUGAGUAAUACGUAUGCAACCUACCCUUUACAGCGGGAUAACCGGAAGAAAUUUCGCCUAAUACCGCAUAUACUCCUUGGGAGGCAUCUUCCGAGGGGGAAAGAAUUUCGGUGAAGGAUGGGCAUGCGUCGCAUUAGUUAGUUGGCGGUGUAACGGACCACCAAGACGACGAUGCGUAGGGGUUCUGAGAGGAAGGUCCCCCACACUGGUACUGAGACACGGACCAGACUCCUACGGGAGGCAGCAGUGAGGAAUAUUGGUCAAUGGCCGAGAGGCUGAACCAGCCAAGUCGCGUGAGGGAAGAAUGUCCUAUGGAUUGUAAACCUCUUUUGUCAGGGAGCAAAGUCACCCACGCGUGGGUGUUGGAGAGUACCUGAAGAAAAAGCAUCGGCUAACUCCGUGCCAGCAGCCGCGGUAAUACGGAGGAUGCGAGCGUUAUCCGGAUUUAUUGGGUUUAAAGGGUGCGUAGGCGGGUUAUCAAGUCAGCGGUAAAAUCGUGGAAGCUCAACUCCAUCCAGCCGUUGAAACUGAAGAUCUUGAGUGGG
rnacentral:rRNA from 1 species